AGUGAACGCUGGCGGUAUGCCUAACACAUGCAAGUCGAACGGCAGCACAGUAAGAGCUUGCUCUUACGGGUGGCGAGUGGCGGACGGGGGAGGAAUACAUCGGAAUCUACUUUUUCGUGGGUGAUAACGUAGGGAAACGUACGCUAAUACCGCAUACGACCUACUUGUGAAAGCAGGGGAUCUUCUGACCUUGCGCGAGUGAAUGAGCCGAUGUCGGAUUAGCUAGUUGGCGGGGUAAAGGCCCACCAAGGCGACGAUCCGUAGCUGGUCUGAGAGGAUGAUCAGACACACUGGCAGUGAGACACGGUCCAGACUCCUACGGGAGGCAGCAGUGGGGAAUAUUGGACAAUGGGCGAAAGCCUGAUACAGCAAUACCGCGUGGGUGAAGAAGGCCUUCGGGUUGUAAAGCCAUUUUGUUGGGAAAGAAAAGCAGCAGGUUAAUACCCCGCUGUUAUGACGGUACCCAAAGAAUAAGCACCGGCUAACUUCGUG
rnacentral:rRNA from 1 species